rnacentral:tRNA from 1 species
GGUAUAGCUUAAGUGGCAGAGCGCAUGCUUUGCUUGCAUGAAUCCUGGGUUCUAUCCCUAGUACC